ACUGAAUAGAUACCCAGGUAGUCCACGCCGUAAACGAUGGAUACUAGCUGUUCGGAGCAAAUCUGAGUGGCUAAAGCGAAAGUGAUAAGUAUCCCACCUGGGGAGUACGCACGCAAGUGUGAAACUCAAAGGAAUUGACGGGGGCCCGCACAAGCGGUGGAGCAUGCGGUUUAAUUCGAUGAUACGCGAGGAACCUUACCAGGGCUUAAAUGUAGAUUGACAGGACUGGAAACAGUUUUUCUUCGGACAAUUUACAAGGUGCUGCAUGGUUGUCGUCAGCUCGUGCCGUGAGGUGUCAGGUUAAGUCCUAUAACGAGCGCAACCCCUGUCGUUAGUUGCCAGCGAGUCAUGUCGGGAACUCUAACGAGACUGCCAGUGUAAACUGUGAGGAAGUGGGGAUGACGUCAAAUCAUCACGGCCCUUACGUCCUGGGCCACACACGUGCUACAAUGGUAGGUACAGAGAGCAGCCACUGCGCGAGCAGGAGCGAAUCUACAAAACCUAUCUCAGUUCGGAUCGGA
rnacentral:rRNA from 1 species